UACGUAGGCAGCGAGCGUUGUUCGGAGUUACUGGGCGUAAAGGGUGUGUAGGCGGUUGUUUAAGUUUGGUGUGAAAUCUCCCGGCUCAACUGGGAGGGUGCGCCGAAUACUGAAUGACUUCGAGCACGGGAGAGGUGAGUGGAAUUCCUGGUGUAGCGGUGAAAUGCGUAGAUAUCAGGAGGAACACCGGUGGUGUAGACGGCUCACUGGACCGUAACUGACGCUGAGACACGAAAGCGUGGGUAGCAAACAGG
rnacentral:rRNA from 1 species